UCUUGCAAGUCACAUUCCACUUGCAGGUCAAAUUAUUAUAAUUUUUUUUAAAUGGCCAAACAGAAACAAAUCUCUCUAGAAUUUUAUCAGUCUAUAUUGUUCUUUUAUUUAGAGGCUAUUAAAUGGACUACACUGUCUUGAAAGAAGAAAUCAUACAGGAUCUAAAAAGGAUAUAAAAUUGGACGACACAAAUGCACACCAACGGAAAGAGAAGUACAUCUGGUAUAAACAGGAAAAGAAUGAACUCAAGUCCUCACAAAUUCCAAGAAUGCAUCUGUAGUUAUUAUUGUAAUGUGGUGUGAUGUGAUUCUACGAAAAGGCAUGGUUGGGCUUCUACGAAGCAGCGAGGUCAGAGCACUCUAAAAAACAUGGAGUUUGUCUUGCCUGUCUUCGCAUGUGGAGUGUGAAAUGGAAAUUGUGAGUAGAAAGAGCAUAAUUCCAAGGAAACCGAAAACACAGAAAAGCAACUACAAGCACAGGAGGGACAUGGAGAACAGACAGAAAGAAACAGAAACCAAUGGAUCAAGGGGGACAAAUUCAGGGAAACUUGUUAGAUGGGACAGCAUGGACCAUCCACAACUUGGCUUCUCUAAUAUGGAUGAUUUACACAAACCUGUAGAGUCUUGUUUUGAUGUGCAACAGCAGGUCCAAUAUGAGAAAACAACAGGACAUUAAUUUCCAGUGCUGACAUCUUCAAAUGGUCUUAACUGUUCUGUGCCAGCCUGCUUCGAAACCUCUAUUAUCACUCCAGUUCCCAAAUAAAACAGACUUUUGCCAGACUGACUACUUACUAGUUGCAUUAACCUCUGUUGUUACAUAAGUGCUUUGAAAGGCUAAUUCUGCACCACCUAUAAUAAUGACUGACCCGUUCAGGACCUUUUGCACUUUGUUUUCAGAUCUAAUAGGUCUAAUGUUGAUGCCUCUGAUUCUGCAUCACAUUUAAUCUACAGCAUCUCUUUCAUACCCUGUUUUCACUCCCUAUUAACACCCGUCUCACAUUAAUUGUUUACAAAUGGACACGUAGUAAUUGUGCCAUAAUGAGACAAGGUUCCCACUGUCUUGGAAAACUGGAAAUAUCAGGGAGUUUUAAAACUGUGAUUUCCAGGCUUGAAAAAGUAAUUGAAUUGAAAAAUGAUCAUGGAAAUGUCAUAAAUGAAUACAGUUUAUUUAUGCUCAGCUCUUAAUAAUAGGUGCUCUAUGAAGUGUUACUUAAUCUCAUAUCAGUGUACAUAAUUUCAAACAAAUGUCAGAUGGACUCUUUAUGUUCUUUUUUUUAUUUUUUUUAUUUUUUUUGUAUAGAAUCAUAGAAUCAAUAAAAAUAGUUAAUAGCAAAAUAAGUACUCUUCGUUUCUUUGUGUAUUUAAAAAUCAAACAAAAAACUUUUAAGCACUGUUCAGUCACAUUUAAGUUAAUUUAGCAGCUUCUGUUUCAAAUGCAUUAUAAAUGUGAUUUCACUCUAAAAAUACUUUCAGCUCAAAAUGUUUUCUGAGGAAGGAACAGACCAAAAAGCAUCAACCUUCAAAAUUCUGUUCAGACUGAGACACAUUAAAAGCGUACAGUGUGUUCUACAGUUGAUUAUCUGUACAGUUAUCUUCCAGCAUCUCUCUCCUUUUUGCUGUGCUGCCAUGUAAAUGCUACUGAACUGAACAUCCUAUUUAUUGUAAUAUACUGUGUUUAUAUCAGCGUUAAAAAUGUUUGCAAAUAGUGUCAAACUUUGGUGUUAGUCUAUCACUGAAAGUCUUUGCCAAUUUCAAAUGCUUUAAUUAUCAUUGUCUAUUGAUAUGUUUAUUGUUUUCUAACACCAGCACGCUGCUAUUUCUUUAAUCUUAAUGACUGUCCACAAUUGUUUUAUAAAUAUUUGAUCAUAUAUCUGCCCAAACCUUCAGUAUAUGUUGUGAGGAAAUAAUAAUAAUAAUAAUUAUAAUUAUAAUUAUAUUUAUUUUUCACACAUUAUACAUUUUGCACAUAUACAGUGAAAUUCUUUUUUUCACAUAUCCCAGCUAAGCUGGGGUCAGAGUGCAGGGUCAGCCAUGAUACGGCGUCCCUGGAGCGGAUAGGGUCAAGGACCUUGCUCAAGGGCCCAACAGUGGCAUCUUGGCGGUGCUGGGGCUUGAACCCCCAACCUGGGCAUAUAUAUAAGCACAUGGGCAUAUAUAUAUAUAUAUUUUAAUAAUUUACAUUUUGUUAGACCUUAUCACAAAAGCCUUACAUAAAUAACUUGCAACUUGCUCAAAGCCUAUAAGUACAGCAAGCUAAAAAAAUGAUUGAAU